UGCCAGACUCCUACGGGAGGCAGCAGUGGGGAAUAUUGCACAAUGGGGGAAACCCUGAUGCAGCAACGCCGCGUGAGUGAAGAAGUCAUUCGUGAUGUAAAGCUCUAUCAGCAGGGAAGAAAAUGACGGUACCUGAGUAAGAAGCCCCGGCUAACUACGUGCCAGCAGCCGCGGUAAUACGUAGGGGGCAAGCGUUAUCCGGAUUUACUGGGUGUAAAGGGAGCGUAGACGGCCGUGCAAGCCAGGGGUGAAAGCCCGGGGCCCAACCCCGGGACUGCCCUUGGAACUGCAUGGCUGGAGUGCGGGAGGGGCAGGCGGAAUUCCUAGUGUAGCGGUGAAAUGCGUAGAUAUUAGGAGGAACACCAGUGGCGAAGGCGGCCUGCUGGACUGCAACUGACGUUGAGGCCCGAAAGCGUGGGGAGCAAACAGGAUUAGAUACCCGUGUA
rnacentral:rRNA from 1 species